rnacentral:rRNA from 1 species
AUUGAACGCUGGCGGCAGGCUUAACACAUGCAAGUCGAACGAGUGGCGGACGGGUGAGUAAUGCUUGGGAAUCUGGCUUAUGGAGGGGGAUAACUACGGGAAACUGUAGCUAAUACCGCAUACCAUAGGAUGAGCCCAAGUGGGAUUAGGUAGUUGGUGAGGUAAAGGCUCACCAAGGCGACGAUCCCUAGCUGGUCUGAGAGGAUGACCAGCCACACUGGGACUGAGACACGGCCCAGACUCCUACGGGAGGCAGCAGUGGGGAAUAUUGGGCAAUGGGGGCAACCUGACGCAGCCAUGCCGCGUGUAUGAAGAAGGCCUUCGGGUUGUAAAGUUCUUUCGGUAGAGAGGCGUUAUCUACAGAAGAAGCACCGGCUAACUACGUGCCAGCAGCCGCGGUAAUUC